CAGCCGGGACAUGCCAGGGCCAGCCUCUCCUGCCAAAUAUCGCGAGAUGAGAAGGCGCUGCGGGAUUCUCUCGUAAAGGAGCCGCAAUUCCCCUCCCCACGAAGGCUGGCGCUUCCAGGAGGAAACGACGUGACGUGUUGAGUUCUCGCGCUGUGCGCCCGGCUCAGGCUGGGUGGCCCGGGAGGCUGCAGCCAGCCCCAGGGACUCACCCUGCCUGCUCCUCCCCUGCACCGGGCCGCGCGGCACUUUCACCCCAGGCGCAGGCUGCGCUGCAAAGCGGGGCCAUGGAGCAGCAGCCGCAGCGCGCCGGUCCUGCUAGGCGCGGUAAGGCAGGCGGGGAAGACCAAGAGCAACGCACCCGAGCAGCCUAUCAAGUGUCUGUGCAGGGUUACAAUAUAAAUUGGAAUAUCAAUGAGGAUGGAGUUCCAGGGAAGGUGUGCAUGAAUGGCUCAGAUCCCAGUCCGUCAGAGUGGAACCAAAUAGAAUCUGUGCCUUUGAAAGAGAACCCUAGAAGCCAGAGCUUGUGACAGAAGUCUGCCAGACCCAGAGGAGCUUAAAAUCACACAGAUUCAGUGCGUAGGUCCAAAUACAGCUAUCCGAAGUGCUGACCAGCCAGAAGUCCUACUGCAGUCACUGGGAACUUCAGUGAAAAUUAGGCAUAAUGCCAUGAAGAGAGUCUCUAAACUGUCCUUGGAACUUAGUGAUGGGAUCUCAAUUCAAUAAAAGAACACCUCAUCUGUCACAGUGUCCUUUUUGUCACUCAAGUACACAAUUUGUUACAUUUAUGAGUGGAGAAUUUGUCUCAACUCUCAGGAAACCUGUGGUAGAAACUCAGCUCUGGUAUAAACACACAACUGUGUUAUCCAUUCUUCAAAAAUUCAGAGGUCUGCCAAACCCAGUUAAAUCAUCUUCUAAAGCCAAACUGAAUCUGAUUAAUCCUUUGGCCCAGCACACAAAAAAAAAGAUAUGCACAAUAAGCAAUGUCUUUGUCAAGUACACACUUCCCACCUUACAUGAAUA